CCUGGCGGCAGUAGCGCGGUGGUCCCACCUGACCCCAUGCCGAACUCAGAAGUGAAACGCCGUAGCGCCGAUGGUAGUGUGGGGUCUCCCCAUGC
rnacentral:rRNA from 2 species